AUUCUUGCGUUUUGAGCAAUGAUGCAGUUAGUGAGGUACUAACCGUGACGCGUCUAUUGUUGGUUGAAAACUAUUUCUAAACUCUCUCGGUCUGGGUUUUAUCUGAAUCAUAGAGAAUUUCUGGAAGGGCUCCCUACAGAAAAAAAAAAAAAAAGUU
rnacentral:snRNA from 1 species